GAUGAACGCUGGCGGCGUGCCUAAUACAUGCAAGUCGAGCGAACGGACGAGAAGCUUGCUUCUCUUAUGUUAGCGGCGGACGGGUGAGUAACACGUGGAUAACCUACCUAUAAGACUGGGAUAACUUCGGGAAACCGGAGCUAAUACCGGAUGAUAUUUUGAACCGCAUGGUUCAAAAGUGAAAGACGUUCUUGCUGUCACUUAUAGAUGGAUCCGCGCUGCAUUAGCUAGUUGGUAAGGUAACGGCUUACCAAGGCAACGAUGCAUAGCCGACCUGAGAGGGUGAUCGGCCACACUGGAACUGAGACACGGUCCAGACUCCUACGGGAGGCAGCAGUAGGGAAUCUUCCGCAAUGGGCGAAAGCCUGACGGAGCAACGCCGCGUGAGUGAUGAAGGUCUUCGGAUCGUAAAACUCUGUUAUUAGGGAAGAACAUAUGUGUAAGUAACUGUGCACAUCUUGACGGUACCUAAACAGAAAGCCACGGCUAACUACGUG
rnacentral:rRNA from 1 species